rnacentral:rRNA from 2 species
UGCCUAUACAUGCAGUCGAACGAACUCUGGUAUUGAUUGGUGCUUGCAUCAUGAUUUACAUUUGAGUGAGUGGCGAACUGGUGAGUAACACGUGGGAAACCUGCCCAGAAGCGGGGGAUAACACCUGGAAACAGAUGCUAAUACCGCAUAACAACUUGGACCGCAUGGUCCGAGUUUGAAAGAUGGCUUCGGCUAUCACUUUUGGAUGGUCCCGCGGCGUAUUAGCUAGAUGGUGAGGUAACGGCUCACCAUGGCAAUGAUACGUAGCCGACCUGAGAGGGUAAUCGGCCACAUUGGGACUGAGACACGGCCCAAACUCCUACGGGAGGCAGCAGUAGGGAAUCUUCCACAAUGGACGAAAGUCUGAUGGAGCAACGCCGCGUGAGUGAAGAAGGGUUUCGGCUCGUAAAACUCUGUUGUUAAAGAAGAACAUAUCUGAGAGUAACUGUUCAGGUAUUGACGGUAUUUAACCAGAAAGCCACGGCUAACUACGUGCCAGCAGCCGCGGUAAUACGUAGGUGGCAAGCGUUGUCCGGAUUUAUUGGGCGUAAAGCGAGCGCAGGCGGUUUUUUAAGUCUGAUGUGAAAGCCUUCGGCUCAACCGAAGAAGUGCAUCGGAAACUGGGAAACUUGAGUGCAGAAGAGGACAGUGGAACUCCAUGUGUAGCGGUGAAAUGCGUAGAUAUAUGGAAGAACACCAGUGGCGAAGGCGGCUGUCUGGUCUGUAACUGACGCUGAGGCUCGAAAGUAUGGGUAGCAAACAGGAUUAGAUACCCUGGUAGUCCAUACCGUAAACGAUGAAUGCUAAGUGUUGGAGGGUUUCCGCCCUUCAGUGCUGCAGCUAACGCAUUAAGCAUUCCGCCUGGGGGAGUACGGCCGCAAGGCUGAAACUCAAAGGAAUUGACGGGGGCCCGCACAAGCGGUGGAGCAUGUGGUUUAAUUCGAAGCUACGCGAAGAACCUUACCAGGUCUUGACAUACUAUGCAAAUCUAAGAGAUUAGACGUUCCCUUCGGGGACAUGGAUACAGGUGGGUGCAUGGUUGUCGUCAGCUCGUGUCGUGAAAUGUUGGGGUUAAGUCCCGCAACGAGCGCAACCCUUAUUAUCAGUUGCCAGCAUUAAGUUGGGCACUCUGGUGAGACUGCCGGUGACAAACCGGAGGAAAAGGGGGGGAAUAAACUCAAAUCUCCAUGGCCCUUAUAGACCGGGGGGUACACCCUGGUUCCAA